UUGUAACUCCAGUGACUCAGCGGGAUAUACGAUGCUGUUUCACUCCCCCAUCAUGUGAUUGGCAGCUCGCAGGAGCCAUCUAACUUCUUGUAAGAUGAUGAAGGUAUUCCAGUACUCCGGGUUCCUCUUUUUUCGCGUCUUGGUGGAAGCCAUUCGGUACCAUAGAAGACGCUGAAGCUAUCGUUGUGCUUGUUCUUUUUUUCGGUUGUUCCUAUAGUUGAUCUUAUGUGCGCGUUUCUGUACGGGUAGCCGGGUUACUUGUGAGUCUGUGAUGGUUUUCUCUUGUGCAAAGCCGUCGUUUAAUUACAUUGUUGUGCAGAUAGUUUAUUCCCAAAUCAGUCAUGCUUUUGUAUGUAUCCAAUUAUUUAUGUAACUGAAUCUUUGUGCAUGACUAUGACACUCAAACCCAUAUUUGCCUACCACUGUAUAGUUUCUGUCUGAUUAAUCACAUAUCAAUUAGCUUUGAUGAUAUUCAAUAUGUGCCCAUUGUUGAGAUGUAUGUAAUCUUGAUGAGAAUUCAGGUCUAGCCUGUUACAUGUUUUAGAAAUACAGUAGAAAACAUGAAAGAAAUUGGGGGAAAAAUAAUCCGGGUGUCGGGUUCCUUUCACAUAAUUCAACGAACAUCCUAUUAUGCAAUCUUUGUUUUUUCCUUGCUAUGUAGUAUAUGAGAGGGAAAGUAGUGGCUGUAGAAAAACUGUACUGUUGAUAUGAGAUAUUAUUGGCGCAUAAUACAAUCAAAUUUUUUGUAUUAAUCAGCAAUGUACAUAAAUAUAACGAUGUUUUAAUGGCAAUUAUUUUUCUAUUCAUAUUAGGAUAAAAAAUAUGCAAACACGUAAUAGCAAUCUACAGCUCUAGAGAGUCAUGUUAAUCCUUUUCAUACAGCAGUAAGUGGGCAUGUACAGGAGUCGAGGGGGAUUUUCUUUCCUAAUUUCUUAUUUUGAGGAAGAGUUGCCGCUCCUUUCAUACUUGAUUGUUUUCUUUUUCAAUUGACAUCAAAUGAACCUGUUUUUUUUCUUUUUAUUAUCGGUGCAGGUUUUAUGUAAGGAAGCUACCUUUUUGUUAUAUAGCUAGCGAACCCAUGGAUGAUUUCCUUCUUCACUUUCACAAACUGUACGUGUGGGUCUUUUUUUCGCCGGGCCAUCUAUAUCGUAGAAGUUUCAGCCGGGAGGAGUCCUGGGAGAGACAUUUUCCCUUUAUUUUGCUUGUUCAUUUUUAUUUUUAAUC
rnacentral:lncRNA from 1 species